CACCCCCCUGUCUUUUUCCAGCCCCGCACUCUGAAAGGUGGUUGCUCUCAAAGGGAAUGCCCGCUGGAGAUGAAUUAUGCUGCUCUGUUCCCGGUAGAGAUGAACGGUGCUACUCUGCGUGCGGUCCUCAGAUGACUAGACGGGGAUCUCCCUGUGUUGCCCAGGCUGGCCUCGAACUCCUGGGCCUGAGUGAUCCUCCUGCCUUGACCUCCUGCAAUGCUGGAAUGACAAGUGUGAGCCACCAAGCCCAGCCUGCCUGGGCUUUCCUGCCUGGACGGGCCUGCCAUGGUCCCUGGGGAACUUCAAAGACAGGAUGGACAACUGGCAGAACUGGGAGGACUCCAGUCCCCAGGGUGCACUUUUUAGGCCACAGAGAUGGUCUUGUUGUCCCACCCUCACUCCCAAAGCCACAUUUGCUUUUGGAACCACUGCUUGAUGCUUUGCAGAAGGGUGAAGGAAGAUGAGAAAGGCCUUAGCCUUUAGGUCUCUACUCUGUGCCAGAUGAGAACAGAGGGAGUCAGAGUCCUGGGGACACCCUGCAUUUCCGUCUAGAAGUCUUUCAAUCCCCUUUCCACCACUUCAGCAAGCGUUGCAACUGCCUCUGAUACCACCAGUCCCUGUCCUCCACGUCCCCUUCCCUAGUCACUGCUGCCAUCAAAUCAUCCUAGUCCGAAUGGGACUAUUCUAGACAGUCCAUGACAAUGAAGUUGAUUCAUUCACACCUUCGACAUAUAUUCCCCGAGCACCGGCGUAAGCCAGCAUGUCCUCGGCUCAGGAUAUUUUCUUGUUCUAUUUAUUUCUGUACUGUCAUGCUUGGUGCAGGUCUGAACACACAGCAGGCAUUCCCUACAUGUGCUGAAUAAAUCAAUGAAUGGCUGAACAUUGAACUUGUAGCCAACUGGUCCUUAUUCAUCAUUGUUUUCAGCUGCUGCUUUUAAGUCAAGUAUCUGUCAACCCAAAGACUGUUGUAGUCACUUCACUGUCCCCAAGAAUCUAACAUGUUUAUACCAGGUGUCUUUCUGUCCCUCCAGAUCCACUGUCCCCUUCCUCCACCCCGCUUUCUGCCCCAGAAGCUGCCCUGUAUGGCCAGGCUCACCUGUUCCUGGGCUUCUUGUUGGGUUUGGCCUAUGGGUGCUCUGGCUGCUAUCGUGGGGAGGUGUUUACUCCCCUGACUUCCUCCCAGGGUGGUCACCUGUGUCCUUCAGCCAAAAGACACAGUUUCCCUUUGUGGCCUCCUUUCUGUGGUUCUCCCUCCCUCUGGGUUUUAAUAACUGCUCCCUCCCCUCGGUCCUGAGGCUUAGGAAUGCUAACGGCUUUGUAACUGCUACCCCGGGUUAUAGUACUGUCUUCAGAUUCUUUAAACCUCAACCACACCUUUGUACAUAGUCCCUUAGAAAGCCACUCAUCCUCACAUUAUCUUAAUUUGAGUGUGCUCUCUGUAAUCCCUGACACCCUGGCUGAUGAUGUUCCAGUCACCCCCAGCCUCAGCUAACAACACUGCUGACAGCUGAAUGCUCACUCUGUUCCAGGCACUCUAUGGAUAAUAUCCUAUUUAUUUAUUUACUUGAGAUGGAGUCUCACUCUGUAUCCCAGGCUGGAGUGCAGUGGUUCGAUCUUGGCUCACUGCAACCUCCAUCUCCUGGGUUCGAGCGAUUCUCCUGCCUCAGCCUCCCCAGCAGCUGGGACUAUAGGCAUGUGCCACCACACCCAGCUAAUUUUUUGUGUAUCUUUAGUAAAGACGAGGUUUCACCAUGUUGGCCAGGUGGUCUUGAACUCCUGACCUCAGCUGGUCCACCUGCCUCAGCUUCUUGAGUAGCUGGGACUACAAGCAUGUACCACCCUGCCUAGCUAAUUAAAUUUUAUUUUUGUUUUUACUACAGACAUCAUCUCACUAUGUUUCCUAGGCUUGCAUCAAACUCCUGGGCUCCACUGACUCUCCCACCUUGGCCUCCCAAAGUAUUGGGAUUACAGGUGUGAGCCACCAUACCUGGCCUAUACAAUCUCCACUAAUUCUCGCAUUGGUUUAAUGAGGGAGACACUCAGUUGAGUGAUGGAACUCAUACUCAGAGCCUAAGUAAUUUGUCAAACAUAACUAGCAAGUAAGUGCCAGAGCUGGGAUUCGAUCCCUGGCAGAUUAAGUUCAGAGCCUGUGCACUUCAUCACAGUAUAUAGUCUUUGGUUAGAGUUGUUGAAUGGUUUCCAGUCAUCCUGGAUGUUUAACUAUACAUCGCUCCAAUGUGUUUGAAGGGCUGCCAUGCCAUGUAUCUCCCUGAAAUCUAGAUGAAUAGUAUCUCCAACGAAUUCUAAACUCAUCUGUGAAGCCCGUAUGUAAAGGAAAGGGACUGAACCUGUAAUGGCUUUUUCCAGUUAGGUCCUUUUCUUUCUUGGAAUUUUCUCUUGGCUUCCAAUUCACUUCCUUCGGUCAAAUCCCUCGACAAAUGACCCUUUCACCUUUCACUGUCACAGUUUUAGAAUCGUGGCUCCACUUGGUGUCUUCUACCGUGCUCCUGUGGGUGAAGCAUGCUGGGGCCAGACACAGGCCCAGAGAGAGACGAGAGAGAGUUUCAUGGUGUUAUUACACUGAUAGUCCCUUGGGGAGAACAUGGCACACCACGCUGGACCACGGGGACACAGGGCUUGGCCACAAGGCAGACUGGCCUGCUAUGUUCAGAAGUGACGCCUCUGCAAAAUCCCAUCCACUGUGGCUGGUUUGAGGCUAUCUAAGGUCUCCAGAUGUUUUUGGCUACUGCGGGGUUUACAUGGGAGCCGCUAGUAGCCAUCCUGUCAGUGUCAAAGAUUGAUUUUCAGACGUAAAACUAUGGUUCAUGCAGCGCUCUACCUCAGAAGUCUGUCAGCCAGAGACUGAAUUUCUUGGUCUUGCUUCUAGCUGGUGUCUGGCCUCAAAUGUUUCCACAGGGAUGAUCAGGGAGAUGAAUGAUCAUCAUUUGGGAUGAGGAAUUCAAACAAAUCCAUGCAGACGUUGUUUUAGAGGCUCCCCAUGCCUUCGUUACUUAGAGCUAAGAUGCCCCCCUCACUGUGAGGGUUUAAGCGACUUCUCUGCUGAGGCAGCCCAGCCACGGCCUCCUACCAGUUCCUGGCAACACUCACGUUUGUGAACCAGGAGAGAAGAUGGAACCUGAUUCCUUACCCAAUGUCUGGACCACAUAGGCAGGGACUAUCAUUUACCAAGCCCGCCAGAGCUCCCCCUUGAAGGCAGCGAGAAAGUGCCUAUGUGAUCAUCUUACAGUGUUUUCAUUUCGGGAGUGUGCGGAAAUCACUGUUUAAAAACACGGGGAGGGUUUAGUCCCACGCUUUAUGCGAACCACGUGUUCUGAAGGGAGAGGCAGCUUUGAAGCUGCUGCGGAGAGUACCUGGUGAUUAUACAAAGCAGCAGUAGGCUAAAUCAAUGCUUUUCAUGCUAAUUAGCUCUUCAUUAGAAUCGGGUGCCGCCCCAGAGGAGCCAGGAGCCUACGGGACCAACCUCUAGCCAACCCCGUCACCCCGGUAACCGCAUCCUAAUUGAGAGGCAGAUGUUGCCAGCUUCCCAGGCAGAUGGAGAAGGUGAGGCUGUGCGCUCCUUCUUCAUUCUCCCUCUGAUGUUCCUGGGGAGGGGGAGUUGAGGAGGUGCCAGAACAGGAAGGGCUCUUAGCAACCCCCGAUCCUGGCAUCCUCCUGCUGAAGGCCAGUGGAGGGUGAGCUUCCUUGGCACAACUCCCCAUAGCCUUGAACACCGACAACAGAGAACUCGCUGCCUGGGAAGGUUUCCGAAGCCAGGGAGAGAGCAAAAGCAAGUUUUCAAACUAACGUUGAGUCAACUAAAGUACAGUCACCCCUGGAGUUGGGAUUUGACAUCUAUAAUAGUUAGGUUUUCCCUGUUCUCUUCUUUUUUUUGAGAUGGAGUUUCGCUCUUGUUACCCAGGCUGGAGUGCAAUGGCGCGAUCUCGGCUUACCGCAACCUCCGCCUCCUGGGUUCAGGCAAUUCUCCUGCCUCAGCCUCCUGAGUAGCUGGGAUUACAGGCACGCGCCACCAUGCCCAGCUAAGUUUUUGUAUUUUUUUUUUUUUUUGAGACAGAGUUUCGCUCUUGUUACCCAGGCUGGAGUGCAAUGGCGCAAUAUCGGCUCAUCACAACCUCCGCCUCCUGGGCUCAGGCAAUUCUCCUGCCUCAGCCUCCCGAGUAGCUGUGAUUACAGGCACGCACCACCAUGCCCAGCUAAUUUUUUGUAUUUUUAGUAGGGACGGGGUUUCACCAUGUUGACCUGGAUGGUCUCGAUCUGUUGACCUCGUGAUCCACCCACCACGGCCUCCCAAAGUGCUGGGAUUACAGGCUUGAGCCACCGCGCCCGGCCUGUUCUCUUCUUUUUUAGUUUGGAUAACAACUCUGUGUUUCUUUUUGUGAAUAGUUUAAGAAACCCUAUUUAUAAGUUUAUGACUAUUUUAUUCUGGGAAAAAAUACAAAUUUGAGCAUGCUUUGCUUCUAAGUAGGGGCAGCAGGCUUUUCCUGUAAAGGGCCAGGGGGUCAAUAUCUUAGGGUUUCUGGGUCACACAAUCUGUCUUAACUGCUUGACUUGGCCUUUGUAUUAUGAGUGCAGCACAGGUGAUACCCAGACAAAUGGGUGCGGCUGACUUGACCUCAGCCCCAGGGUCACAGUUGACCUGCACCUCUCUCAUGGAAUUGAAACAAGCCUCAGGUGGCUGUAACUAACACCAACUGGCAGGUGGCGGCUGCGUGGACUGCCGUGAUGAGAAGGAGCCUGAGGCCUCGGGCAGGUUUGGUGGGAAGGGCAGCUGGGUUUGGUGAUGUCUGCCACUGGCCAGGGAGGGAGAACAGCAGCUUUGUGCCCUGUGAGCUCUGCCUGGCAGUCCUUGGUGAAAGAGAGUGAGCUGGAUUACAAUGCACACGGGCUGCGGGGGAGUGGAAAGGGAAUUUUCGGAAUGGGGGCAGCAUUGUGCAAGGCAGAAAGGACACUUUUUGUUUGGACACUGUCACUUAUUCUCUGUGUAUCUUCCAGAUCUCUAUCUAUUAUCUAUCCAUCUGUCUGUCUAGCUAUCUGUAUUUUUGUCAACACUGACUUUUGCUUUUGUUGCCCAGACUGGCGAGCAAUGGCAUGAUCUCGGCUCACUGCAGCCUCCACCCGGGUUCGAGAUUCUCCUGCCUCAGCCUCCUGAGCAGUUGGGAUCACAGGCACCCUCCACCAUGCCUGGCUAACUUUUGUAUUAUCAGUAGAGAUGGGGUUUCACCAUGAUGGCCAGGCUGGUCUGGAACUCACCAUGAUGGCCAGGCUGGUCGGCCUCUCAGAGUGCUGGGCUCACAGGCGUGAGCCACCACGCCCGGCCUCAUCAGUACAUACUGCAUGCCUCCCAUGCGGCAUCCACU
ensembl:lncRNA